rnacentral:rRNA from 1 species
AACGAACGCUGGCGGCAUGCCUAACACAUGCAAGUCGAACGAGAUCUUCGGGUCUAGUGGCGCACGGGUGCGUAACGCGUGGGAAUCUGCCCUUUGGUUCGGAAUAACAGUUGGAAACGACUGCUAAUACCGGAUGAUGACGAAAGUCCAAAGAUUUAUCGCCAGAGGAUGAGCCCGCGUAGGAUUAGCUAGUUGGGGUGGUAAAGGCGCACCAAGGCGACGAUCCUUAGCUGGACUGAGAGGAUGAUCAGCCACACUGGGACUGAGACACGGCCCAGACUCCUACGGGAGGCAGCAGUGGGGAAUAUUGGACAAUGGGCGAAAGCCUGAUCCAGCAAUGCCGCGUGAGUGAUGAAGGCCUUAGGGUUGUAAAGCUCUUUUACCCGGGAUGAUAAUGACAGUACCGGGAGAAUAAGCUCCGGCUAACUCCGUGCCAGCAGCCGCAGUAA